UAAUUAUGUUGCUGUGUUUUGUGCAGGUGAAGGGAUGCACAAUCAAGAACAACAAUGCUGAGUAUUGAAGAACACGAACUACACACAAGGUGUUUGAUAAAAUGUCUCAAACACUUGUUCUCCAGAAGGAUCAAAGAUAGUGCAUUUAUGAUCCUUAAACUGAAGAGAAUAGUUUUUCUCCAUCAUUUGUCCAACACUCAACAAAUUUUGACUGAUUUCAGGUAUGAAUAACACAUCAGGAAUGAUUUUGAUACCUGAACUUGUUUGAACAUUUACUGACCCUCUGCCUUUGACCUCCAAAAAUUCUCCAUUGCCAACCUUUACUCUGGAUUUGUAAGAUUCAUCAAGGGUUUUGAACAUUCCAGCAUCAUUGCACAAAUGGUGUGUGCAUCCACUGUCGAUAAGCCAAGUAUCAGCUGAAUCAUUUGUUGAGAAACAAGUGACAGCAAAGAAUUGCUCCUCCUGUGUAUCAACUUCAUCCGCAAGUGAGUGCAGGGAGGAAACUUCUUCUGUUUUGAACCUUCACUGGUGCUGCCCCCUUCAUUUUUGCCUUUACUUCUCAGAUUAAGCAACUUCUUUCCUUUUCCAGCUUGUUGUUUUUGCACAUAAAAGGCUCCUUCAGUCAAUCUGUCUUGCCUGAUUGUUCUUCGUUGCUCCUGUGCUUGAAGAGCACUCAUUAGUUCACCUAAUGAGAUUUUACUGAGGUCCUUUGAUUCUUCCAGAGAGGAGAUUUUGGAUUCAAACCUCUCAGGAAGAGUCACAAGAACCUUCUCCACAAUCCUGCUGUCAGGAAAGUCUUCUCCAAGUAAUCUGAUGUUGUUGAUAAUUAGUGAAAUUCUAUCAGAAUACUUGGAGAUUGUUUCAUCUUCUUGCAUGUUAAGUGCCUCAAAAUCUCUCUUCAAAUUCAGCACUUGCAUUUGCCUUGUUCUGUCACUGCCUUGGUAUUCUUCUUUUAGUUUGUUCCAAGCCUCUUUGGCUGAAUUGCAUGCCAUAAUUCUGUAGAAAAUGCUUUCUGCCACAGAAUUCUGGAUGAUUGAUUUUGCCUUGGAUUUCUUUGCCUUUUCCUCACUGCUGAACUUGAUUUGAGCCAUAGUGGGAUUUGUUGGUAAGGGAGCUACUGGUUUGUCUUCGGAAACAAUUUCCCAAAGAUCAUAAGCUUCAAGAAAAGCUUGCAUCUUCACUGACCAAAUGUGAUAGUUUUCGCCAGUGAAUAUAACGGGGGAGU